GGGGAAUAUUGCACAAUGGGGGAAACCCUGAUGCAGCAACGCCGCGUGAGUGAAGAAGUAUUUCGGUAUGUAAAGCUCUAUCAGCAGGGAAGAAAAUGACGGUACCUGACUAAGAAGCACCGGCUAAAUACGUGCCAGCAGCCGCGGUAAUACGUAGGAUGCAAGCGUUAUCCGGAUUUACUGGGUGUAAAGGGAGCGCAGGCGGGACUGCAAGUUGGAUGUGAAAUACCGUGGCUUAACCACGGAACUGCAUCCAAAACUGUAGUUCUUGAGUGAAGUAGAGGCAAGCGGAAUUCCGAGUGUAGCGGUGAAAUGCGUAGAUAUUCGGAGGAACACCAGUGGCGAAGGCGGCUUGCUGGGCUUUAACUGACGCUGAGGCUCGAAAGUGUGGGGAGCAAACAGGAUUAGAUACCCUGGUAGUCCAUGCCGUAAACGAUGAUUACUAGGUGUUGGAGGAUUGACCCCUUCAGUGCCGCAGUUAACACAAUAAGUAAUCCACCUGGGGAGUACGACCGCAAGGUUGAAACUCAAAGGAAUUGACGGGGGCCCGCACAAGCAGUGGAGUAUGUGGUUUAAUUCGAAGCAACGCGAAGAACCUUACCAGGUCUUGACAUCCGAUGCAUAGUGCAGAGAUGCAUGAAGUCCUUCGGGACAUCGAGACAGGUGGUGCAUGGUUGUCGUCAGCUCGUGUCGUGAGAUGUUGGGUUAAGUCCCGCAACGAGCGCAACCCCUAUCUUCAGUAGCCAGCAGGUUAAGCUGGGCACUCUGGAGAGACUGCCAGGGAUAACCUGGAGGAAGGUGGGGAUGACGUCAAAUCAUCAUGCCCCUUAUGACCAGGGCUACACACGUGCUACAAUGGCGUAAACAAAGAGAAGCGAACUCGCGAGGGUAAGCAAAUCUCAAAAAUAACGUCUCAGUUCGGAUUGUAGUCUGCAACUCGACUACAUGAAGCUGGAAUCGCUAGUAAUCGCAGAUCAGAAUGCUGCGGUGAAUACGUUCCCG
rnacentral:rRNA from 1 species